rnacentral:rRNA from 1 species
GAUGAACGCUGGCGGCGUGCCUAAUACAUGCAAGUCGAGCGAAUGGAUUAAGAGCUUGCUCUUAAGAAGUUAGCGGCGGACGGGUGAGUAACACGUGGGUAACCUGCCCAUAAGACUAGGAUAACUCCGGGAAACCGGGGCUAAUACCGGAUAACAUUUUGAACCGCAUGGUUCGAAAUUGAAAGGCGGCUUCGGCUGUCACUUAUGGGUGGACCCGCGUCGCAUUAGCUAGUGGGGGAGGUAAAGGCUCACCAAGGCAACGAUGCGUAGCCGACCUGGGAGGGUGAGCGGCCACACUGGGACUGAGACACGGCCCAGACUCCUACGGGAGGCAGCAGGAGGGAAUCUUCCGCAAUGGACGAAAGUCUGGCGGAGCAACGCCGGGUGAGUGAUGAAGGCUUUCGGGUCGUAAAACUCUGUUGUUAGGGAAGAACAAGUGCUAGUUGAAUAAGCUGGCACCUUGACGGUACCUAACCAGAAAGCCACGGCUAACUACGUGCCAGCAGCCGCCGUAA